rnacentral:misc_RNA from 1 species
GAAAUGCGAUAAGUAAUGUGAAUUGCAGAAUUCAGUGAAUCAUCGAAUCUUUGAACGCACAUUGCGCCCGCCAGUAUUCUGGCGGGCAUGCCUGUUCGAGCGUCAUUUCAACCAUCAAGCCCCGGGCUUGUGUUGGGGCCCUGCGGCUGCCGCAGGCCCCGAAAACCAGUGGCGGGCUCGCUGUCACACCGAGCGUAGUAGUUACCACCUCGCUCCGGGGGUGCCGCGGGUUCCGGCCGUUAAACCCCCCACUUUCCAAAGGUUGACCUCGGAUCAGGUAGGAGUACCCGCUGAACUUAAGC